rnacentral:rRNA from 1 species
GAUGAACGCUAGCGACAGGCUUAACACAUGCAAGUCGAGGGGCAGCACAGGUAGCAAUACCGGGUGGCGACCGGCGCACGGGUGAGUAACGCGUAUGCAACUUGCCUAUCAGAGGGGGAUAACCCGGCGAAAGUCGGACUAAUACCGCAUGAAGCAGGGGCCCCGCAUGGGGAUAUUUGCUAAAGAUUCAUCGCUGAUAGAUAGGCAUGCGUUCCAUUAGGCAGUUGGCGGGGUAACGGCCCACCAAACCGACGAUGGAUAGGGGUUCUGAGAGGAAGGUCCCCCACAUUGGUACUGAGACACGGACCAAACUCCUACGGGAGGCAGCAGUGAGGAAUAUUGGUCAAUGGGCGCGAGCCUGAACCAGCCAAGUCGCGUGAGGGAUGAAGGUUCUAUGGAUCGUAAACCUCUUUUAUAAGGGAAUAAAGUGCGGGACGUGUCCCGUUUUGUAUGUACCUUAUGAAUAAGGAUCGGCUAACUCCGUGCCAGCAGCCGCGGUAAUACGGAGGAUCCGAGCGUUAUCCGGAUUUAUUGGGUUUAAAGGGUGCGUAGGCGGCCUUUUAAGUCAGCGGUGAAAGUCUGUGGCUCAACCAUAGAAUUGCCGUUGAAACUGGGAGGCUUGAGUAUGUUUGAGGCAGGCGGAAUGCGUGGUGUAGCGGUGAAAUGCAUAGAUAUCACGCAGAACCCCGAUUGCGAAGGCAGCCUGCCAAGCCAUUACUGACGCUGAUGCACGAAAGCGUGGGGAUCAAACAGGAUUAGAUACCCUGGUAGUCCACGCAGUAAACGAUGAUCACUAGCUGUUUGCGAUACAUUGUAAGCGGCACAGCGAAAGCGUUAAGUGAUCCACCUGGGGAGUACGCCGGCAACGGUGAAACUCAAAGGAAGUGACGGGGGCCCGCACAAGCGGAGGAACAUGUGGUUUAAUUCGAUGAUACGCGAGGAACCUUACCCGGGUUUGAACGCAUUCGGACCGAGGUGGAAACACCCUUUCUAGCAAUAGCCGUUUGCGAGGUGCUGCAUGGUUGUCGUCAGCUCGUGCCGUGAGGUGUCGGCGUAAGUGCCAUAACGAGCGCAACCCUUGCCACUAGUUACUAACAGGUAAAGCUGAGGACUCUGGUGGGACUGCCAGCGUAAGCUGCGAGGAAGGCGGGGAUGACGUCAAAUCAGCACGGCCCUUACAUCCGGGGCGACACACGUGUUACAAUGGCGUGGACAAAGGGAAGCCACCUGGCGACAGGGAGCGAAUCCCCAAACCACGUCUCAGUUCGGAUCGGAGUCUGCAACCCGACUCCGUGAAGCUGGAUUCGCUAGUAAUCGCGCAUCAGCCAUGGCGCGGUGAAUACGUUCCCGGGCCUUGUACACACCGCCCGUCAAGCCAUGGGAGCCGGGGGUACCUGAAGUCCGUAACCGCGAGGAUCGGCCUAGGGUAAAACUGGUGACUGG